GGAGAAUUUACAUUGAUUUUUGUUAUGUGAGGUCUCAGGUAAAAAACUUUCCAUAUAGACAGCUCUUAAAAUAAUCCAUCACGGGGACUAGAACCAGAAAGAUAAUGGGACCCAACUAUUAAUCUCUUGUUGCUGUUCAGAUGAAUUGGCUUUACCGGAAGACAGACUACUAAAUAUCAGUGUUACAUAAAACUAAAUCAAAAGGAUGAGACAGCCAAACUAGGCUCUGUGUGCUUUCACCCUUCAUUUAAGAAUAGCAAUGGAUGAGAUCUUGGGACAUAUGAAGAUCACUCUCCUGCUUCUCUGGAUUUGGGUGCUUUCCUUUUUGACUACAUGGCCCCACAUUGGCCACAGUAUUGACCUCAGUCCUCCAGAAGUGGUGAAACCCUUAAGGAUAAUUGGCACUUCUAGAGGCAUGAAGACUAUGAACUGGGUCUCUUACAGCCUACAUCUUGAGGGCCAGAGAUAUAUUGUCCACAUGAAGGGCUUUGCUGCAAAGGCUGUCAAAUCGUAG
rnacentral:lncRNA from 1 species